rnacentral:rRNA from 1 species
GUGGGUAACCUGCCUGUAAGACUGGGAUAACUCCGGGAAACCGGAGCUAAUACCGGAUAGUUCCUUGAACCGCAUGGUUCAAGGAUGAAAGACGGUUUCGGCUGUCACUUACAGAUGGACCCGCGGCGCAUUAGCUAGUUGGUGGGGUAAUGGCUCACCAAGGCGACGAUGCAUAGCCGACCUGGCAGGGUGAUCGGCCACACUGGGACUGAAACACGGCCCAAACUCCUACGGGAGGCAGCAGUAGGGAAUCUUCCGCAAUGGACGAAAGUCUGACGGAGCAACGCCGCGUGAGUGAUGAAGGUUUUCGGAUCGUAAAGCUCUGUUGUUAGGGAAGAACAAGUGCCAGAGUAACUGCUCGCACCUUGACGGUACCUAACCAGAAAGCCACGGCUAACUACGUGCCAGCAGCCGCGGUAAUACGUAGGUGGCAAGCGUUGUCCGGAAUUAUUGGGCGUAAAGGACUCGCAGGCGGUUUCUUAAGUCUGAUGUGAAAGCCUCCGGCUCAACAUGGGAGGGUCGUUGGAAACUGCGAAACUUGAGUGAACAAGAUGACAGUGGAAUUCCACGUGUAGGUAUGAAAUGCGUACAGAUCUGGAGGAACACCAGUGCCUAAGGACACUCUCUGGUCUGUAAGUGACGCUGAGGAGCGAAACAUGGGGUGCAC